rnacentral:rRNA from 1 species
GGGGAUUUUUGGACAAUGGGCGCAAGCCUGAUCCAGCCAUUCCGCGUGAGUGAAGAAGGCCUUCGGGUUGUAAAGCUCUUUCGGCAGGAAGGAAACGGCGGGCUCUAACAUAGCCUGUUACUGACGGUACCUGCAGAAGAAGCACCGGCUAACUACGUGCCAGCAGCCGCGGUAAUACGUAGGGUGCGAGCGUUAUUCGGAAUUACUGGGCGUAAAGCGUGCGCAGGCGGAUUGUUAAGCAAGACGUGAAAUCCCCGGGCUUAACCUGGGAAUGGCGUUUUGAACUGGCAGUCUAGAGUGCGUCAGAGGGGGGUGGAAUUCCACGUGUAGCAGUGAAAUGCGUAGAGAUGUGGAGGAACACCGAUGGCGAAGGCAGCCCCCUGGGAUGACACUGACGCUCAUGUACGAAAGCGUGGGUAGCAAACAGGAUUAGAUACCCUGGUAGUCCACGCCCUAAACGAUGUCAACUGGUUGUUGGGGGAGUGAAAUCCCUUAGUAACGA